rnacentral:sRNA from 1 species
GCUGGGCGUGGUGGUGGGUGCCUGUAAUCCCAGCUACUUGGGAGGCUGAGGCAGGAGAAUCGCUUGAAUCCGGGACGUGGAGGUUGCAGUGAGCUGAGAUCGCGCCACUGCGCUCCAGCCUGGACGACAGAGACUCCAUCUCAAGAAAAGAAAAAAAUAAAAAUAAAAAGAGAGGGAGAGAGAAAGAAAAGUGGAAAUUUCUUUUUUUUUUUUUUUUUUUUGAGACGGAGUCUUGCUGUGUCUCCCAGGCUGGAGUGCAGUGGCGUGAUCUCGGCUCACUGCAAGCUCCGCCUCCCGGGUUCACGCCAUUCUCCCGCCUCAG